rnacentral:rRNA from 1 species
GUCUACAGCCAUGCCACCCUGAACAAGCCCAAUGUCUGAUCUCAGAAGAUAAGCAGGGUCGGGCCUGGUUAGUACUUGGAUGGGAGACCACCUGAGAAAACCAGGUGCUAUAGGCA